UACGAAGGGGGCUAGCGUUGCUCGGAAUCACUGGGCGUAAAGCGCACGUAGGCGGCUUUUUAAGUCAGGGGUGAAAUCCUGGAGCUCAACUCCAGAACUGCCUUUGAUACUGAGAAGCUUGAGUCCGGGAGAGGUGAGUGGAACUGCGAGUGUAGAGGUGAAAUUCGUAGAUAUUCGCAAGAACACCAGUGGCGAAGGCGGCUCACUGGGCCGGUACUGACGCUGAGGUGCGAAAGCGUGGGGAGCAAACAGG
rnacentral:rRNA from 1 species